rnacentral:rRNA from 1 species
UACGUAGGGUGCGAGCGUUAAUCGGAAUUACUGGGCGUAAAGCGUGCGCAGGCGGUUUUGUAAGUCAGAUGUGAAAUCCCCGAGCUCAACUUGGGAACUGCGUUUGAAACUACAAGACUAGAAUAUGUCAGAGGGGGGUAGAAUUCCACGUGUAGCAGUGAAAUGCGUAGAGAUGUGGAGGAAUACCAAUGGCGAAGGCAGCCCCCUGGGAUAAUAUUGACGCUCAUGCACGAAAGCGUGGGGAGCAACAGG